UAGUCAUAUGCUUGUUUCAAGGACUAAGCCAUGCAUGCCUCAGAAUAACUGCACUGCAGGAGUCUGCGCAUGGCUCAUUACAUCAGACGCAAUCUGCCGCAAAAAUGUUGCGGUCUCCGCAAAAUUGGAUAACUUGGCGAAACGCCAAGCUAAUACAUGAAUCUCUAUGGGUGUCCUCCACUCACGCGGCAGUUUCGGCUGUCGUAGCGAGGCACCUUGCGAAUGAAUGAAAUUAAAACCAACGCUCUUCACGGAGCAGCAACACCAAGUAGUGUUGAGUCAAUUCAUUCUGCGAAAGCCGGUUUACCGGCGCCUUUUGAUGAACAACUGCCCUAUCAGCCAGUGAUGGCCGUGUAGUGGACUGCCAUGGCGUUGACGGGAGCGGGGGAUUAGGGUUCGAUUCCGGAGAGGGAGCCUGAGAAAUGGCUACCACUUCUACGGAGGGCAGCAGGCGCGUAAAUUGCCCAAUGACCAAAAAUGUUGAGGCAGCGAAAAGAAAUAGGUCUCCUAAACGUCUUUACGGCGUUUGGGAGUUGCAAUGGGGGAUAUUUAAAGCCAUCCAAUAUCGAGUAACAAUU
rnacentral:rRNA from 1 species